rnacentral:rRNA from 1 species
GUGUCAGCAGCCGCGGUAAUACGAAGGUCCCAAGCGUUAUCCGGAUUUAUUGGGUUUAAAGGGUGCGUAGGCGGGCUAUUAAGUCAGUGGUGAAAUCUCCGAGCCUAACUCGGAAAUUGCCAUUGAUACUGAUGGUCUUGAGUACAUUUGAAGUGGGCGGAAUGUGUCAUGUAGCGGUGAAAUGCUUAGAUAUGACACAGAACACCGAUUGCGUAGGCAGCUCACUAAACUGUAACUGACGCUGAGGCACGAAAGCGUGGGGAGCAAACAGGAUUAGAAACCCCCGUAGUCC